GAAUUUACCACGUGAUACUGAAAUGAUCUCUGCAUGCCCUCUGCCCAUACCAGGGAAGGGACCUCGUCAUCCCAGGGCCUAGUUCAAAGCCUGGUAGAUGGUGGGCACUCAACAAAUGGUUGAACUGGACUAGAAUCUCAAGGAUCAACUAGGAAACUCAGUGUUCAAAAUGGACUUAAUUUCUGUGUUUUUCAGUCAGGUUGCUGGAUAUCCACUUCCACAUCAGGAAAAAUUUAAGUUAACAUUAUUUUAAAGGAGAGAAAAAGAAGAAUGUUUUGACAAAAUUCUUGCUUGACUUUAAAAUAUAAAUCUUGGUGGACAAGGUCACUUACAUACAAUUAAACUACUACGACAAAGCAAAACCAAAGGAAUCUCAUUUGAUGAAUACUUAUGUCCAGUAACUUUGAUACAUAGUUUAGAGCUUUCCCUUUGCUUAGAAGUCAAAAUUCAGGUUUAAAAAUUGAUUUUUAAGCAAAAAUAAAUUAUACUUUUAAAAAGUGAAUCUCAAAACAUGAGAAGGUGAUGUUCCUAAGAAGGGCAAAUGCUGCAGGCGCAGAGACUCACUCCAGGCCAGCCUUCACACAACAGGGUAGGGUGCAUUCAGUGCCCCUGGAUUUCCACUUAAAUGUUGCCACUGGGAUGGUCUCUGGGGAAGACCACAAGAACGAGUUAAUGCUGAGGAAGACCUGCAAUAAUUGACUCAUUGCAUAGUAUCCACACACUCCUAACUACAGGGCUGCGGCCAAAAGAAGUGUCAAAUUCGCUUAUGAUAAGAGGAGCAGACCUGGUUCCUGAGAGCUCCCUGUCUCAAGGCAGUGCAAGUCUCUCCUCCCACUCAUGCCAUUGCCAGCUAAUGUUCAAAAACAACUGUUCCUUGAAAAUUCUUCUUUUAGAUUCUCUUGUUUACACCUCAGCUAUAUCUAACUGCCUGGCAUGACUAAAGUGUUUUGUGCUUGGAACAUCCUACAUCUCUGAAGAUCCCUUCCAGUUUUGUGAUUUUAUGAUUCUUUGAACAAUUCAAACAAUCAAAUGAGAAAUACAUCAUGGUUGAUUGACCUCAUAUAAAAAGACACACGAUUCCAAGUAUUUUAUCUAAAACCACUUUUGCUACUGUGGAGACACAUCCAGGCAGUUUAAAGUUGCAGCAAUAUCAUUUCUUUGGAGAAACUGAGAGCAUGCGAUUGGUCUUAUCCUACCAAAUAAAGGACAACCACGUGUGCGGUCUGUGCAGUCUUGCCGCUUUCCCAAUGUAGCCACGUUAGGCAUCACUUGCCAGAGCUGCUGUAUGUUGAAGUAAUAGAGCAAAAUUUAUGUAAAGUGCAAUUCCAACAUCAGCACAUAUCUCUCUCUGAGUCAGAAAAAUGGUGGAGAUACUCAAUGUAAAACUCAAGAAUUCACAGUAUUAUAAACACACAGUUGGCUUGCUUAGCGCUUCUCUCCAAAUUCAAGCACUCCCACAGAUGAGGAGAAAGAUAAGGGCAGCGUGAUGGAUACCUUGACACAUCUGUGGUUUUUUGAUCAUGACUCUCAUCACCAAUGAGGUGUCAAGUGGUUUCAACCUCUAAGUGGCUCUGUGGCCUGGGGAGCUAUGGUGGGAGGGAGAUGGCUGGAGAGAAGUGCAGGGUCCCAGACCAGAGCAAUCACGGUGUAGACAGGUGAUCCAGUGGGGACAAUCAGUUUCCCCAAUGGGGUCUGAGCUCACCUAGACCCAACCCAGACCCACGUCAGGCGGCUGGGCACCUCAUCUACUGCCUCCCUGACACUGUGUUUCCCUGUCUGUGUACAGGCUGUGCGCCAAAGUUCAGGAAGGGAAAACAGAGCGAUUCAUUUCUAUUACUCAUUUCCAACACAUAGCUCUCUACUAUGUACAACUCAGUAAGUGGCUCCAGGAAAAGAGAAAAAAAAUAGGGAGGAUUUCAAAUACUACCACAAAAAACUGUCAAAUAAGACACUGAGGAGGUAGGGCUUGGAGAAAGAAGGGCAAGUAAUUGGCCUGUUUAUCUGCAAGGCUUUAUUUAACCUGGAGAUCCCCAAGAGACUCAGUGAUCCCCCAGUGCUCCCAACAGGUGAGGGUUGAAUGAGCUGGGACAUGUAAAGUGCUUAGGAUGGGGCAGGCACGCAGCACAUGCCUGCUGCUAAUUUAAGCUCUAUUUUUACAGGUGAAAAUAAGAUUUUUUUAAAAGGACUUCAAUAUCCCGAGUUGAGUCAUUUACACACAAGAAUAUUCCGCUUUAUCAAGUUUGACUGAAUUCCCUUAAAAUUCAGGUUCCUCAGGUUCAUUUUCUAAAGCCCUUUUUUUACAUUCCCAACAGGAACGCAGCAUGAGCUGUAGGAUUCAGUACCUUUUAUGUCUCAGAUCACACAGCUUAGUAUGAAAGUGUGCAAAGUGUUCUGAUAAAAUACAUUAAGAUAAAAAUCUUUAAAUAUCUAGUUUUUAAAGGGGAAGAAAAUACAGAUGGCGAGGAGUAGAGCAGGAUACAAUCUCGCAGUAAGGAACAUGUUCAAGUUCAGAGGUGACACCACAUGGAAAAACACAUCCUGAAGACAUUUCUUUUGGAAGGACACAGAGUUUUGGU
rnacentral:lncRNA from 1 species